AUACGGAGGAUCCGAGCGUUAUCCGGAUUUAUUGGGUUUAAAGGGUGCGCAGGCGGCCAUUUAAGUCAGCGGUUAAAUCGUGGGGCUCAACCCCAUUCUGCCGUUGAUACUGGGUGGCUUGAUUGCGGUCGAGGUUGGCGGAAUUCGUUGUGUAGCGGUGAAAUGCAUAGAUAUGACGAAGAACCCCGAUUGCGUAGGCAGCAGCCCUACCCUAGAAAGUCCCUCAUGCACUAAAGUGCGGUGAUCGAACAGGAUUAAAUGCCCUUGUAGGGUUAAGAGUAAACUAUGAAUACCUGUUUUCACCGAUAUAAUAUCCGAGCUUUACCGCAAGUAAUAACGAUCCCCGCUGGGAAGUUCGCCAGUAACGCUGAAGCUGACACAAAUUGGCGGGG
rnacentral:rRNA from 1 species